rnacentral:rRNA from 1 species
CUGCUAUCGGAUUGAUACUAAGCCAUGCGAGUCAUUGUAGCAAUACAAGGCAUACGGCUCAGUAACGCGUAGUCAACCUAACCUAUGGACGGGAAUAACCUCGGGAAACUGAGAAUAAUGCCCGAUAGAACAUUAUGCCUGGAAUGGUUUAUGUUCCAAAUGAUUUAUCGCCGUAGGAUGGGACUGCGGCCUAUCAGUUUGUUGGUGAGGUAAUGGCCCACCAAGACUAUUACAGGUACGGGCUCUGAGAGGAGUAGCCCGGAGAUGGGUACUGAGACACGGACCCAGGCCCUAUGGGGCGCAGCAGGCGAGAAAACUUUGCAAUGUGCGAAAGCACGACAAGGUUAAUCCGAGUGGUUUCUGCUAAAGGAACCUUUUGUCAGUCCUAGAAACACUGAUGAAUAAGGGGUGGGCAAGUUCUGGUGUCAGCCGCCGCGGUAAAACCAGCACCUCAAGUGGUCAGGAUGAUUAUUGGGCCUAAAGCAUCCGUAGCCGGCUCUGUAAGUUUUCGGUUAAAUCUGUACGCUCAACGUACAGGCUGCCGGGAAUACUGCAGAGCUAGGGAGUGGGAGAGGUAGACGGUACUCGGUAGGAAGGGGUAAAAUCCUUUGAUCUAUUGAUGACCACCUGUGGCGAAGGCGGUCUACCAGAACACGUCCGACGGUGAGGGAUGAAAGCUGGGGGAGCAAACCGGAUUAGAUACCCGGGUAGUCCCAGCUGUAAACCAUGCAAACUCAGUGAUGCAUUGGCUUGUGGCCAAUGCAGUGCUGCAGGGAAGCCGUUAAGUUUGCCGCCUGGGAAGUACGUACGCAAGUAUGAAACUUAAAGGAAUUGGCGGGGGAGCACCACAAGGGGUGAAGCCUGCGG